AGGAAAUAGUUUUUAAAAAAAUAUUAAUUUUGGAGAUUAAUGAUAAGGUUAUCUUUUUCCUGA
rnacentral:tRNA from 1 species